AUAUGCGACCAUACCCAGUGGAAAAUUCGGUAUCCCGUCCGCUCUGCCCUAGAUAAGCUACUAAGGGCUGGAUUAGUAGUUAGGUCGGUGACGACUAGCGAAUACCCGGUGUUGCAUGUU
rnacentral:rRNA from 1 species